AUUUGAAUGAUAAUAAAAAUAUUUUGUUGAUAAAUUAUGUAAAUACUAGUUAAAUUAGAAGACUUCAAAGUAAAGUCCAUUCACAAAUGACACAUUACAGUUAUUUGCAGCUAGAAUCCUCUCUUCCGCGGGUCGAUGCAAUUCUUGCAGGCCUUAGGAGCAAGAUCACCUCUGCAGAGUAAAAGACCGUAAACCCUGUCUGGGUAUUCUCCUUCAGUUGCGCGAAGAAGCCCGAAAGACCCCUGUAAUUGUAGAGCGGCCGUAUGAGGACAUUGAGGUUACUGUGAAAUUCGCUAUGCGAAGUGCAGAUAGAGUCGUUGUUGCAAAUUGUGUAGAUGUAAAGAGGUUGGAGAGCUCGCUGAAGCACAAGAGGCAACGAGGCGCCGCCAUGGACAUACGGGGAACAGAAAGGUCGGGGGCUUUCUACUCUACACCUGCUUUCUAUUUCUGUUUGAUUAUUUACACCGACCCCUUGCUCCCUUAUAUUAACUAGCGGGAUUUUCAUCAACAAAAGUAGAUUGCACAUCUUCUGUUUGAUUAAAUACCUCAGUGAAUCUCCAUUAACAAAAGCAGGUUGCCCACUGUCCGUUUGAUUAAACUUAAUAGUUAGCGGUAUUUUCAUGAACGAAAGAUGAUUGCUGUUAUAGUCCUCCAUGGAAUGUGUGUGUAGUACAAAAAUCUUGAAUUAUUAGGUUGAUUUGAGGUCCAAAAUGUCUUGGCCAUGUUACAUGAGAAUCUUGGCAAACAUUUCAAGAUAACCAUUCUUUUGACGUGCAUAUAAAAUAAUAUACGAAGAAUAAUCAUAUUUUUAACACAAAAAUGUUCUCUCUCAUAUUUAGGGGCUUGAAAUUUGGACUUGAAAUUUAGAUUCUUGUGAAUUUUUGAAUUAAAUACAAUAUAAAAUUACAGUAACCUUGCAUCUGGGAAUACAUAUUUCACAUCUUGAAUUUGUAUUUGUGUUGAAUUAGACAAAACAUAGUAUAAAAUUAUAUUUAGUUUGUUCCAAAUCUAUACAAAUCCAAAUCAAAGGCUUGAAAUUCAUGUCCCCAAACACUGCCUAAGUUUCAUCUAAUAAAUCAAAUUUAAGGUUUGAAAUUCAUGCUUCUAAAUGCAACCUAAGAGAAUCCAUACCAAAUUAAAUCUAUGUCCUAAAAUUUUGAACCAUUAUAACUAAUGCGAAAAAAUCCAACUCAUAAUAAUAAUACUUUCACAUUUUUUUUUUGCAUCUUAUUUAUAAUUGUAAUUUAUUGUUAUAGUUAUUAUAUUAGUGUGAUAUAAUACUAUAUUAUUGGUUUGUUCAUGACUAUUGAUGGGACAUUGUAGUCCCCAAAACAUGGAAUUUCCAUCAAAAUUCCCAUGGGAGAGCAUGAAAAAUGGGAUUUUAACAUUUUGAGGGCAUAUUUCCAUCUCAAUGAAUGUAAACUUACUGAUAUCUCACUUUCCUGUUCUAAAACAAACAUUGUCAUAUCACUUCCCCGAAAAUGUUAAAAGAUCCCGCAAACCAACUGGCCUUUAAGGCUUAAUUGUCAAAAGCAAAACACCUGCAGCCUCCACGGUUCGUAGUUAGACCAAAAUUACCUUUCAAAUUGCAGGUGCUAUGAAGCCUCCUAGAGUCUGCAUUCAGCUUAUUAUAAUCCUGUGGAGACCUCAGAUAAAUAAGACAUCUUCUUUAUAUAUAUGUUUAGAAUGGCAAAUCAAGUCUCUGAAGCUACCACAUAAUGUGACUAAAUGGAUUGCAGAAUGCAUGGUCCAUGGAAAUGUUCCCUUGAUUCUAGUCAUUGAACAUCUCCAAUGAUUUUCAUUCACUGCCCUCUGCGCAUUCUGUUUGGUAUCAAGUAUCGAAUCUUGUGUCGCUUCAUUGGUCAAUGCCAAGAGACUCCUAUUUGCAUGUCUAUUCCAGCCACUUUCAUAUGGGAAAUGUGGAGGGAGCAUAGUGACAAAAAUUUUCAAGAAUCCAACUGCAGCUAUUUCUUCAUUGUUGCACAGUUUAUUCUUAGAGAAGACUUGAAGGCAACAAUCCUCCUGUCAGAUGGGCAGAUUUCCUUCAUCCUCUCCCCUGCUUGCUAUGUAAAAUAGCACUGUAAUUGGGCUUCAAGGUUAGCAUGCCCACUGUAGUGCAGCAUUUUGGUCAGCUCUCAUUUCUUGCAUGUGUGUUUGACACUCUGCAAUUUUCUUUUGGGUGUUGGCUAUCAAGCUACUUGCUUGCUAUUCCUUUUUACAGCCUUUAUCCUUGUACAACAUUCUGUUUUUAAAAAACCAUUUUAGGUUUUUAAAACAGACAAAGCGCUUCCAUCAGACAUUCUUCUAGUGAAAUAUAUGGGCAAGGACUUUAUUGGCAGGAUUUUCCUCACAGCUGCUAGCCAAGAAAUCGAGAAUCAAAGCAAGAACCAAGAUGGGAUUAUAUGGGGAUAAUGCACACAGCUGGGUUGUUCUGAUCGCCAUUUGUGUCCUGAUUUUUGUAGCAGUGUUUCUUAUUAGCUCUGUCUACUCGAAACUUAUGAUGAGAAAAGGAAAACAUCAAGAUGAAGAGAAAAGUGGACAUGCAUCUUUACAUAAUUUGGCGAUUGUCCACUGCUCCUGCAGCCCCCCAAGAAAAUGAUACUGAUAGUCCUCAAGAAUUACUUUAGGCAACAUAAAUUUCGGGUCGAGAAUUUAGAUUUGUAUAGAUUUGAAAGAAAUUUAAUAUUAUUUUAUAUGAUAUUUUGUUCAAAAUCAUACAAAUUGAAAUUACAAAAGAUUCAAAAUUCAUACACUCAAAA